AUACGUAGGGGGCAAGCGUUAUCCGGAUUUACUGGGUGUAAAGGGAGCGCAGACGGAACUGCAAGUCUGAUGUGAAAGCCCGGGGCUCAACCGUGGGACUGCAUCGGAUACUGUGGAUCUGGAGUGCCGGAGGGGCAAGCGGAAUUCCUGGUGUAGCGGUGAAAUGCGUAGAUAUCAGGAGGAACACCGGCGGCGAAGGCGGCUUGCUGGACGGCAACUGACGUUGAGGCUCGAAAGCGUGGGGAGCAAACAGGAUUAGAUACCCUGGUAGUCCACGCUGUAAACGAUGAAUACUAGGUGUGUGCAUGCAAGGCAUGUCCGUGCCGCAGCUAACGCAUUAAGUAUUCCACCUGGGGAGUACGUUCGCAAGAAUGAAACUCAAAUGAAUUGACGGG
rnacentral:rRNA from 1 species